rnacentral:rRNA from 1 species
AGUGAACGCUGGCGGUAGGCCUAACACAUGCAAGUCGAACGGCAGCACAGUAAGAGCUUGCUCUUACGGGUGGCGAGUGGCGGACGGGUGAGGAAUACAUCGGAAUCUACUUUUUCGUGGGGGAUAACGUAGGGAAACUUACGCUAAUACCGCAUACGACCUACGGGUGAAAGCAGGGGAUCUUCGGACCUUGCGCGAUUGAAUGAGCCGAUGUCGGAUUAGCUAGUUGGCGGGGUAAAGGCCAACCAAGGCGACGAUCCGUAGCUGGUCUGAGAGGAUGAUCAGCCACACUGGAACUGAGACACGGUCCAGACUCCUACGGGAGGGAGCAGUGGGGAAUAUUGGACAAUGGGCGCAAGCCUGAUCCAGCCAUACCGCGUGGGUGAAGAAGGCCUUCGGGUUGUAAAGCCCUUUUGUUGGGAAAGAAAAGCAGCAGGUUAAUACCCCGCUGUUCUGACGGUACCCAAAGAAUAAGCACCGGCUAACUUCGUG